CCUACGGGGGGCUGCAGUGGGGAAUCUUGGACAAUGGGGGCAACCCUGAUCCAGCGAUGCCGCGUGGGUGAAGAAGGCCUUCGGGUUGUAAAGCCCUUUAGGUUGGGAAGAAGCGUAUUUGAAGAUAAUGCGAAUACGUUGACGGUACCAACAGAAUAAGCACCGGCAAACUCUGUGCCAGCAGCCGCGGUAAUACAGAGGGUGCGAGCGUUAAUCGGAUUUACUGGGCGUAAAGGGCGCGUAGGCGGUGGUGUAUGUGUGAUGUGAAAGCCCCG
rnacentral:rRNA from 1 species